ACAAGACUUGGCUACCACUGGCUUUGCUCGUUGGUUACCGUUUGAAUCUUAAGUAGGGGGGGGCAAGGCAAGGAGGAGCACGUAGGAAUGCCGACCACUACAUAAGCCACUAGUGGCUGAGAAAAAGUGAGCUUCAGCGAGCAGCGAGUGGAAUCUCUUACUUCGGAAAGAUUGAGCAGUAUUCAAUUAUGAUGACCUAGUCGAGAGAGUACGAUACAUCGAAGUAAAAGAUUGAGUGGGAUUAGUGAGGUUGGUUAUAGCAAGGGCUGGCCUGAAGUGCGUGGCUUACGAAAAGGUAAGCGGUUAGGUUGACUCUGUCCCCAUUUUUUGCUUCUUAUGAAUCUGCCCAUUUUGAUUCUCCGCAGAAUUUCUGUUUCGCAGCCACUAAGGUUCCUUUCGGUCCUCUUCCCCAUGGGUCUUGUAUAUGAACGUGAGAGCAAAGCAGGGCAUCAAAAAUCCUUCUAUUCCAAUAGGCCGAGUGAACAGCAUGUGUCCUGCCUCCGGAGAAUCACGCCUAUCGAAUGAAUGAUUGAAGAAAGAAAUGAACAAAGUUCAUAGUUCUUUCGACACGCCUCUUAGCU
rnacentral:lncRNA from 1 species